rnacentral:rRNA from 1 species
UACAGAGGUCUCGAGCGUUGUUCGGAUUCAUUGGGCGUAAAGGGCGCGUAGGCGGCGGGGUAAGUCUGGUGUGAAAUCUCGGAGCUCAACUCCGAAAUUGCACUGGAUACUGCUCUGCUAGAGGGCUGGAGAGGAGAUCGGAAUUCACGGUGUAGCAGUGAAAUGCGUAGAUAUCCGGAGGAACACCGGUGGCGAAGGCGGCUUCCUGGACCGACACUGACGCUGAUGCGCGAAAGCUAGGGGAGCAAACGGG